AGUGUCUUAAAACAUUUCCAAUUCCACUGUAAAAUGGAGUGGACUAUGCAAUUGUGAACAAACAAAAAAUUCAUUACUAUAUAUGCAGUAAUGUUUUUAUGUUUAUUCACAACUGCAUAAUUCACUCUAUUUUGCAGUAGAUUUUGCAG